ACAGCUCAGGGGGAGAGCAUCUGCUUUGAAUGCAGAAGGUCACAAGUUCAAUGCCUGGCAUCUGCA